rnacentral:rRNA from 1 species
UACGAAGGGGGCUAGCGUUGCUCGGAAUCACUGGGCGUAAAGCGCACGUAGGCGGAUUGUUAAGUCAGGGGGUGAAAUCCUGGAGCUCAACUCCAGAACUGCCUUUGAUACUGGCGAUCUUGAGUCCGGGAGAGGUGAGUGGAACUGGCGAGUGUAGAGGUGAAAUUCGUAGAUAUUCGCAAGAACACCAGUGGCGAAGGCGGCUCACUGGCCCGGUACUGACGCUGAGGUGCGAAAGCGUGGGGAGCAAACAGG